UUGUCUUUUAAUUAAGGACUGGAAUGAAAGGUUUGACUAUGUAUUUCUGUCUUAUAAUAAUAUUUUGAAAUUUAUAUUUUAGUAAAAAAGCUAAAAUUAUCUAUAGGGACGAGAAGACCCUAUCAAGUUUUACAAUCCAGAAUUUAUUUUCAAAUUAAAUUUUAAAUUGUUUUGCUGGGGCAGCAGAUAAAAAUUUUUUAUUUUAAAAUUAUGAUAAAUAAAUCUUGAAAAAUCAAAAAAUUUUUAAUUAAAAAUAAAUUACUGUAGGGAUAACAGCAUAAUUUUUUUAGAGAGUUCUUAUCAUCAAAAAAGUUUGUGACCUCGAUGUUGGAUUAAAAUUCCUGAUUCGUGCAAUAAUGAAAUAA
rnacentral:rRNA from 1 species